AUUUUUUACCUCACGUUUACAUAAAGACCCUACACUUUCAGGAGAAGACAAUAGUGCCGUUAAAGCAGUGUUGCCCGCACUCUCCCAAGUUUACGUCUGAGUCUCUCUUUCGUAGCGCCCACGCCUCAAUGGUGAAUUCGUUGCUCGUGUUGUCAACGGUGGCUUUGCUUUAACAUUUAGGCUGGAUUCGGAUGAAUUGUGAUGUUUAUGAAUGGUUGGAAGAUUUCUGAGUUAAAAUUUAUAAAUAAUAAAGAAUAGUAAUAAGAUAUGAGUUGAGAUUAUUCGAACCGACACUUUUAGUGUUGAAAGAUCCGAACCCGGUUCGACUCCAUUGGCGUCCUUUCAAAAAUGGAGACCCGUUCGGGAUCAGCGUUGUAGGUUCUGAUUGUCCUGGUUGGUCUUUUGGGGCUCUGGCGGGAUUGGGUCAGUUUUUGCCCAGAGUCGAAGACCCAAGAACGUGCAGGUCCCGGUUCGGGUCAAAUGGUACGGUACCCCACUGCUUUUAGAAGCUGUGAACCAUUAUCUAGGGAAUGGAAAGACCUUUUCAAGGACUUCAUUGACGUGUGGCUUCAUACUGAGGGUGGCCUUGAUCUUAUACAGCUAAAGAGUGCCUGAAGAAAAUCUUGGAACAUGGACACUCUCUUUUUAAGUGAACCAUUGACAUCGUUGUUUGAACUCUCACUUAUGCUGCGAUCAGCAUCCCCAAGAUUGGUGCUUUAUCGACAACUAGCAGAGAAGUCUCUUUUUCCUUUCCUCUGGCUGAUGAAGCUGUAUCAAACAAUUUCAAGGAGGAAACUUUAGAAACAAAUGCAAAAAUGCAGAUUAAAAAAUCAGACCCCUUGCUUGUUGGUGUAAACCCAGAUGGUGCUGGCGCAGAAUGUUGUUGAGUGAAUACUGGUGGAUCACUGUUCUUUGAUAUUGAGGAAUUGCUAUUGUGGCUUCGCAAUCCUAGUGAACUCGCUGGAGACUCAUUUCAGCAGCCAGAACUAUUUGACUUUGAUCGUAUUCACUUUGAUUCAAGUGCAGAAAGCCCAGUUUCCAUCCUUAAUGGAGCUCUUAGAACUGAUUGCUUUAAGAAGUUUCAUGUCGCAUUAGUUGAAGCUGCCAAAGAGGGAAAAGUUAUGUUGUGAGACCUGUUUUACCUUCUGGCUGUGAAGCAAAAAUUGACCAUUGCAGUGCAGUUGGCACAAGAGAUUCCUUGAAUUUGGGCGGUUAUGGUGUAGGACUUGCUUUGAAGAACAUGGAAUAUAAGGCCAUGGAUAACGGUAUAAUAAAGAAAGGUUAGAAUUAUCAAUUUAUGCUCUAGUCCACUUUCUUUCAACUUAUGUUCAUGUUUUAGGAGUUUUUAUUUUAGGCAAGCUUUAUUGAGGCCAUGUUGUAUCUGUGCUGCAAUAUUGAAUAUGCAUUAUACAUGAAGUUUAAAGCUUUCCUUUCAGAGUUUUGGUGUUGGCCUGCUGCAUAAAUGCCUUAACGACUAGCUGUUUCUCAAUAGUUGUCAAUAAGUUUCUGAUGCAAUUAAGAAAAAUUUUGGCCCCAGCACGUUGAAGUUAAUGUUUCACUUACUGCUUCAUUUGAAGGUUUUAGAAUUUAAUUAUGUUUCUUGACGUUUGAUCUGAUAUUUAUAUGCACAUUUAACUCAAGUCAAAGGAAUUUCAAAAAUAAAAAAUAAAGGGGGCCCUGAAUUAGCUUGGGGGGAUAUGUUGACUAGGGAGGUGAAAAAAGUAGGAUUUUAGAUAGGUUACAAUGGCGGAAAAGAAUACAUUUUCGACACCAGUUGGUUGAUAAAGAUCCAUAACCGAUCCUAAUUUGAUUGGGAUUAAGGUUUAGUUUAAGUUUUUAAAGGAAUUGGCCGCCAAUGAAUUAAUUAUUUUGGCUGGUAUCUAAUGUUUGAUUAUGAGUAUGCAUUACUGUGUUUGAGUACUUAGAUUUUAAUUGGUGGAGAAUGUGUUAAUAAUGUGAGGUUUGAGCAUCACUCUCGAGGAUCCUCGGACUAAAGAUAAUAAGAUAGAGGAUUCAUAUUCUCUAAAAUUCUGGUUGGUUAUUCUUUUUUGAGGUUUUACUCUUUUUCUUAUUCAGAUCGUUUCUUAUGUUCAUAACCGCCAAUUGGGCCCUUUCUCUUUACUCUGAAUAUAAUGUGUGAGCGGAAGAUUGUGAAGUGCUUAUAUAUGCUUGGAUAUAAUUCAUGAAAAGCAGGUGUUAUAUAC